rnacentral:tRNA from 1 species
AAUCUUAUAUUCAACUAAUGAUUUUAAAUUGCAAAUUUAAAGGUGUAUUUUACUAAGAUUU